GACGAACCGAGCGAACGUUGUUCGGAAUCACUGGGCUUAAAGGGCGCGUAGGCGGGCUGUCAAGUCUGGGGUGAAAUCCCACGGCUCAACCGUGGAACUGCCUUAGAUACUGACGGCCUCGAGGGAGAUAGGGGCGAGCGGAACUGUGAGUGGAGCGGUGAAAUGCGUUGAUAUUCGACAGGAACUCCGGUGGCGAAGGCGGCUCGCUGGAUCUUUCUGACGC
rnacentral:rRNA from 1 species